UUCAGGCUGCCCAGCCUGUCACUUGCAUGGGGCACCUCCAGGGUUGGGCACCCACAGCUCUGGGCAGCACUGCUGGGGUCUCAUCGCCACUGGGUCAAAGAUUUCUUCCUCACAUCCAACCUCAGUCUCCCCUCUGUCAGUUUGAAGCCAUUCCCCCUCACCCUGUUGCUAUCAGACGGGUAAAAGUCGCUCCCCCUCCUGCUGUGCUUCCCAGUACUGAAGGCUCAAUGUGGUUUCCUGGAGCCAAACACCCCCAGCUCCAUCAACACGUCUCCAUAGCAGAGGCGCUUCAGCGCUCUGAGCAUCUUUUGCUCCCACUCCCACAGCCCCACAUCCCUCCUGUUUUGGGGACCCAGACCUGGAUGCAGCACUGCAGUUUGGGGCCGUGCAAAGGCCUUGCACAACUGCAGGCUGACAACUUGAGUUGCCUUUCCCUUGUCCACUGAUGCCAUCACUGAAGGCCACCAGAAACCAUGCCCAGGGCAGCAGAGCCCCAUGGGCAGAGGCAGCAGUGCUCCAGUGAACAGAGAAACGCUGCUGGAUCCCCGCAUGGCGAAAACAAGGAGUGAGGAGCAGGGCUGGUUGUGUGCACAGGAAGCCUUCCUCGAUUUCGGCUGCUGUUCUCUGUCUGCCUUGAAAAAUCAGUGCAUUUACUGAUUAAAAAUAAAACCUCACACGUCAUGGCUCCAGCACCGAAGGCUGGGCUGUUGUGCUAUUUAUUUUUAAAGAGAACAAUAUAGCAGCUGAGUUAUUGUGACAGCUCCUGCAUAUUGUGCAGUAGCUUUUUCCCUCCGACGUCUCCAUAUUAGUGAAAUCUGUGACAGCUUCCUGCCAAGGAUUAUUAACAGUGCGGGCAGCUUUGUGUCCCUGAGGGGAGCACAGACGGGUUGGCAGUGGGGUGGGCCAUCACCCCAGAGCAGAUCAGUGCUGAGGUCCCCGUUUUUGGUGCUCUCUUUUUGGCUGAAAACCCCUUGCAGUGCACAGGGAGCUCUUGGAGCAGCUCCCAUUCCUGCAGCACGCCCCGUGCAACACGUUGUAUGUGCUCAGCAGUGAUGCUCCCUGCAUUUUCCAUCCCCUGGGAUGCAGUUUUCCUGCACAGAAGCUGCUGACCCCGCAUGCAGGUGAAGGGAAGGAGCAUCUCUGCCCUCUUUCUGCCCAUAACAACGUGCUGCUGCUGCCUUCCAAGCAAAAAAAUGAAACGUUCC